rnacentral:rRNA from 1 species
ACUCCUACGGGAGGCAGCAGUGGGGAAUUUUGGACAAUGGGCGCAAGCCUGAUCCAGCCAUGCCGCGUGCGGGAAGAAGGCCUUCGGGUUGUAAACCGCUUUUGUCAGGGAAGAAAGGUUCUGGCUAAUACCUGGGACUCAUGACGGUACCUGAAGAAUAAGCACCGGCUAACUACGUGCCAGCAGCCGCGGUAAUACGUAGGGUGCAAGCGUUAAUCGGAAUUACUGGGCGUAAAGCGUGCGCAGGCGGUUAUGCAAGACAGAGGUGAAAUCCCCGGGCGUCAACCUGGGAACUGGCCAUUUGUGAUCUGCAUGGCUAGAGUACGGUAGAGGGGGAUGGAAUUCCGCGUGUAGCAGUGAAAUGCGUAGAUAUGCGGAGGAACACCGAUGGCGAAGGCAAU